rnacentral:rRNA from 1 species
UUCCGGUUGAUCCUGCCGGAGGUUACUGCUAUCGGGGUUCGACUAAGCCAUGCGAGUCGAAUGUAGCAAUACAUGGCGUACUGCUCAGUAACACGUGGACAACCUACCCUUAGGUCGGGGAUAAACCCGGGAAACUGGGUAUAAUACCCGAUAGUCCUCGGAUGCUGGAAUGCACCGAGGUCUAAAGCUCCGGCGCCUAAGGGUGGGUCUGCGGCCUAUCAGGUAGUAGUGGGUGUAGCGUACCUACUAGCCUACGACGGGUACGGGUUGUGAGAGCAAGAGCCCGGAGAUGGAUUCUGAGACACGAAUCCAGGCCCUACGGGGUGCAGCAGGCGCGAAAACUUUACAAUGCUGGAAACAGCGAUAAGGGGACCUCGAGUGCCAGGUUACAAAUCUGGCUGUCGUGAUGCCUAAAAAGCAUUGCAUAGCAAGGGCCGGGCAAGACCGGUGCCAGCCGCCGCGGUAACACCGGCGGCUCGAGUGGUAACCGCUAUUAUUGGGUCUAAAGGGUCUGUAGCCGGCCGGAUAAGUCUUUUGGGAAAUCUGGCAGCUUAACUGUCAGGCUUUCAGAGGAUACUGUCUGGCUCGAGGCCGGGAGAGGUGAGAGGUACUUCAGGGGUAGGGGUGAAAUCUUGUAAUCCUUGGAGGACCACCAGUGGCGAAGGCGUCUCACCAGAACGGACCUGACGGCGAGGGACAAUCACUAG